CCAUCUCACAGCUGCUCUGCUUCCUGUGCUGUGAGAACUGAGGAUAACGCUGGUGAUGGCAAGUGGACCUGAAGCUUGAAACCAACGGUGCAGGCUGAACUUCAUGCUGCCUCAUUCAAGACCAUGGAAAGGCCGACUUCAAAAGACGGGAGAAGAGGAACAGUUAAUGGCAAUCAAACUGGCCAACCUAAGAAAACCCACAGAAGAGGAGCAGGGCAAGAAAGGGAGGAGACAGAUAAAGGAGACGGAAUGUUUGGUGGAGCAAGAGGAGG